rnacentral:rRNA from 1 species
GAUAAACGCUGGCGGCGUGCCUAAUGCAUGCAAGUCGCACGGGUCACGCUUUCGGGCGUGGCGAGUGGCGAACGGGUGAGGAACACGUGGCCAACCUACCCUGGCGUGGGGAAUACCCGUCAGAAAUGGCGGCUAAUACCGCGUACGGUCCCUGGGGGGUGACUCUGGGGAAGAAAGCCGUGAGGCGCGCUGGGAGGGGGCUGCGGCCGAUUAGCUAGCUGGUGGGGUAACGGCUCACCAGGGCGAUGAUCGGUAGCGGGUCUGAGAGGAUGAUCCG